rnacentral:rRNA from 1 species
GACGAACGCUGGCGGCGUGCUUAACACAUGCAAGUCGAACGGAAAGGCCCCUUUGGGGGUACUCGAGUGGCGAACGGGCGAGUAACACGUGAGUAACCUGCCCUUGACUUCGGGAUAACUUCAGGAAACUGGGGCUAAUACCGGAUAGGAAUCCUUGCUGCAUGGUGGGGGUUGGAAAGCUUCGGCGGUUUUGGAUGGACUCGCGGCUUAUCAGCUUGUUGGUGGGGUAGUGGCUUACCAAGGCUUUGACGGGUAGCCGGCCUGAGAGGGCGACCGGCCACAUUGGGACUGAGAUACGGCCCAGACUCCUACGGGAGGCAGCAGUGGGGAAUAUUGCACAAUGGGCGGAAGCCUGAUGCAGCAACGCCGCGUGCGGGAUGACGGCCUUCGGGUUGUAAACCGCUUUCAGCAGGGGCGAAGCUUGUGGUGACGGUACCUGCAGAAGAAGCACCGGCUAACUACGU